UCCAAGAUGGCUGACUCUGCGGAGGUUUGACAACAUACUUUUUCUUUUUUGCAAAUUUUGACUGUUCUACUGAUUCUCAAGGUCAAGAAACGGAUUAAGAGGAAAUAAGGCCUCUUUGUUAGACACAAAUUGCCGACAGUCUCGUUCAACUUGGUUUGCAGCGAAAGCACCAAUUUGACUGGUGUUCACAUCAGAGCAACUGGAAGGAACGACAGCUGACUCCAGCUUGGUGAACUGAGGGUUAUGGAGAGAGAGAAAGCAAAUCCACGGGUUUGUUUAGAAAAGCCUUGGUUGUUAACAUCACAUGGCUAACUGCCUAGCAAAUUGCCAUGCUGCGUGAUGAGAUUUCAUCACUGCCAAUCGUCUUUAUCCCAAUAAUACUGGGCAAAACAAUUUAAUUCUUUCACAACCUGACACCAAAAACAUUAUUUUCACACGUUCUCUGCCAUUGGCAACAACAGACAUCCAAUGCCUUCAGAUUGUUUUUUUUGGUUUUGCUUUUGAGGCAUUGCCAAAUGUUUGGUCUUUGAAGCUCUUGAGACAGAACUUCAAAUCGUGACGUUUCUUUGCCAUUGACAGCGAGAAGAGACGUCCGAUGCUUUCAGAUCUCGCAUUGUGAAACGUUCGGUCCUUGAGGUGACUCCUUUUGUCGGAAAUCCAAACUGUGAUGUUUCAGCGCCACUGACGGCGAUAGACGUCCAAUGCCUACAGGUUGUUCUUUUGUUUCCACUGUUGAGGCAUUGCUAAAUGUUCGUUCUUUGAAGCAACCUUUUUGAUGGAAAACUUGUAAUGUUUCAGUGCCAUUGACGGCGGGCCCGGACGUCUGCCGUCAUCAAUGGCAGUGAAAUUGAAAGAUGGAAAAAUAUAAAAGUAUACUGUUAGCACUGUACUGUAAAUAUGUGCGGCAGCCGAUUAACGGUCGCUCAUCAUGCUCUCCCGUGAUGACCCACAAAAGGGCAACGUCCCGACUUCCCGCGGCUAAUCGAUUAUUUUUCUUCGUCAACCACUGAGACGACGGCGUUCGCGAUCCAAACAAAUCGCAUCAUUACGACAUCAGCUCAGCACGGCUUAUUCCGGACCGUCGACAAAAGGGUUUCCGACAGCCCAAAAGUGGAAGAAAAAUGUUAAUAUGCCUGGCGACGUGAGGAUCAAAUACAAUGGCGUGUCUCGGCUCAUUGCUCCUGACUUUGGUACUCCCCAAGGUUUCUCAUUUUCUCCCAAAGACUCUGGAGUUUUUCCUUGCUGACAUGGAGGGUAUAAGGAUAGGGGAUGCCCAGGACUUGAACUUUAUUUAUUCAUCUUUGUUGCUUCAUUUGCUGUUUCUGAUUGUGUAUCAUAUUGCCUCUGCAAAGCCCUUAAGGACAAUCUUGUUGUGAUUUAGGGCUAUACAAAUAAAAUUGAAUUGAAUAAACCGCCAGCGAGUGAAGAUUCUGCAGCAGAAACACAACACACAUACUAAUAGAAAAGAAGCAAUUUAUUGAGACACUCCAUAUGGAUGCAUACAGUUAUGAAGCACUUGGGCUGAGAAUGAGCACCUCCAAAUAUGAGAGCAUGGUCCUCAAUGAGAAUAAGGUGUCAUGCCCUAUCCAGGUCAAGGAUGAGGUCCUUCACUUAAGUGGAGUUUCAUAAGAAAGGAGAGAGACUCGGUUGUAUGCACUGGUUGGGUGUGACGUGGAAGGAGUUGGGGCAAAAGGUGGUCAUGAAUUUAACACCGGUUUACCCUGUGGGGUAGUCAUUCUAUAAAUAUGAAAAAAUUCAGCCGUGAAACCUCAUUUCGGAUGGCCUAAUGGUUAAAAACAUUAACUACCACUGAGGCAACACGGGUUCGAUUCCUAUAUAGGCUUGCAUUGGUCAAGAUGCCUGCAGAAACAGAAAACGCAUCAUUUUCAAAAAUUGUCAAAACUCGAACCCGGGUACCGAGAGGCCGUAGUCGAUGUCUUGAACCAUUGGACCAUCUUUAAGAGGGUAAACUCUGAUCGGAAGUCAUACUUAUUCUUUGUAAGUCACAUGGUGAUGUGUUGUACUGUGAAGUUAAAGUAAUAAAUCAGAAGGACUCAAUCAUAUAUUCAAAACAAUAGUCAAGUGGUUAAUGACAAAGCCCAACAUCUGAGAAAGUCGGGUUCGAGCACAGCGAUAUUGUCCCUUUAUACUUUCACGUACCUUUCUAUUUUUUUUUUUUUUUUUUUACGAUGACGUCAUGACCGGAAACCUAUUUAAACUGCACGAAAUGAGCCAUCAUUCUUUUCAAACCUGCUGCCAGCUCCCGUCGCCACCCGACUGCUGCGCUCCGCACUUAACGCGAAGACGGCGGCCGUCGACGUCGAGGGAGCGCGUGCUAAAAAGACAUUCAUUCGACGACUACAAACAAAUGCAGGCGUUUAACUAAGGUACAAACUGAAAUACAUCGAAUCUGCGUGAAUUGCGUGCACUUUCUCAUAACAGGAGUGACGCUGACAUUUUCGACAAGUGAACAAGAGCGCCGUUUGACAGGAGGUAAACUGCGGGGAAAAACUCGCGAUUACCAUUAAAACGAUUCAAGGUCUAAUUUUGUCCGCAGAUUCUCAUCUUAAAGAGAAUGGGCAAAUUGAUUCUAAUCGAUCGAAUAAGCUUACCGAUUGUUUUACCUUUUCUGUUGCAGGCCACUGUCAAGAUGUCCGCCUCUGAUCACAGCACGUGUCGAGGAGCUACAAUGUCCAAGUAAGGAGAGCAGCCUUGUAUGAUUUCAUCAAGAUCGACGUUGGAGGCCUUGUCCACUAGGCCACCCAAAGCUGCGUUCAAGGAUGCUUGCCGUCAUGGAGCGGCGCGCCAAAUCCUCCUCCUAACUGUUGUCCUGGCCGGAGUGGAACAGGCCGCGAUGUGGUCGUCGAUGUCCUUUUCAAGCCCAGGGAUAUAAAAAUGACAAUAAAAAUCUGACAAAACUAUUUUUGCUUGCACUGAAUGUUUACUCUUUUCAGGUGGACGCCCACAUUCAGAUGUGUGUGCAGAUUUUCAGUUACCACCUCCAGAAAGGUUGCCUUGAUUCAGCCUGUUGGGAUUGAGAAAUUGACGCCAUCAAAAUUAGGACUUUGUGACCUGAGCCAGGCAUCGACUGCUAUCCAAGAGCCUAAUGGAGAAAGAAACAUGCACUGUUGUUGUUCGUCAUGCAACAAUGUCCUAGUCUUCCUCAAAGGUGAAUUUACG